CGCGGCGCCAAGGUCUUGGUGAUCGGUGCGGGCGGGCUUGGCGCGCCGGCGCUGCAAUAUUUGGCGGCUGCCGGGGUUGGAACCAUCGGUGUUGUGG
rnacentral:tRNA from 4 species